rnacentral:ncRNA from 1 species
UCCCGAGAAGGGCAAAUUCCAAGAAAUUGGGAGGCGCAAAGCCACGGGGCGAAUGCAAGUGUCACAGGGCUUUGGUCGGAGUAGGACAGUAAAGAUUCAUAAGUCAAAGAUAAAGAAAUUAGAGAAAGUUUGACACGACAGCCGGGCUACCGAA